GAUGAACGCUGGCGGCGUGCUUAACACAUGCAAGUCGAUCGAUGAAGCCCAGCUUGCUGGGUGGAUUAGUGGCGAACGGGUGAGUAACACGUGAGCAACCUGCCCCUGACUCUGGGAUAAGCGCUGGAAACGGCGUCUAAUACUGGAUAUGUCCCGUCACCGCAUGGUGUGCGGGUGGAAAGAUUUUUCGGUUGGGGAUGGGCUCGCGGCCUAUCAGCUUGUUGGUGAGGUAAUGGCUCACCAAGGCGUCGACGGGUAGCCGGCCUGAGAGGGUGACCGGCCACACUGGGACUGAGACACGGCCCAGACUCCUACGGGAGGCAGCAGUGGGGAAUAUUGCACAAUGGGCGGAAGCCUGAUGCAGCAACGCCGCGUGAGGGAUGACGGCCUUCGGGUUGUAAACCUCUUUUAGCAGGGAAGAAGCGAAAGUGACGGUACCUGCAGAAAAAGCACCGGCUAACUACGUG
rnacentral:rRNA from 1 species